GUGGCGAGUGGCGAACGGGUGAGUAAUAUAUCGGAACGUACCCUGGAGUGGGGGAUAACGUAGCGAAAGUUACGCUAAUACCGCAUACGAUCUAAGGAUGAAAGUGGGGGAUCGCAAGACCUCAUGCUCGUGGAGCGGCCGAUACCUGAUUAGCUAGUUGGUAGGGUAAAAGCCUACCAAGGCAUCGAUCAGUAGCUGGCCUGAGAGGACGACCAGCCACACUGGAACUGAGACACGGUCCAGACUCCUACGGGAGGCAGCAGUGGGGAAUUUUGGACAAUGGGCGAAAGCCUGAUCCAGCAAUGCCGCGUGAGUGAAGAAGGCCUUCGGGUUGUAAAGCUCUUUUGUCAGGGAAGAAACGGUGAGAGCUAAUAUCUCUUGCUAAUGACGGUACCUGAAGAAUAAGCACCGGCUAACUACGUGCCAGCAGCCGCGGUAAUACGUAGGGUGCAAGCGUUAAUCGGAAUUACUGGGCGUAAAGCGUGCGCAGGCGGUUUUGUAAGUCUGACGUGAAAUCCCCGGGCUCAACCUGGGAAUUGCAUUGGAGACUGCAAGGCUAGAAUCUGGCAGAGGGGGGUAGAAUUCCACAUGUAGCAGUGAAAUGCGUAGAUAUGUGGAGGAACACCGAUGGCGAAGGCAGCCCCCUGGGUCAAGAUUGACGCUCAUGCACGAAAGCGUGGGGAGCAAACGGGAUUAGAUACCCUGGUAGUCCACGCCCUAAACGAUGUCUACUAGUUGUCGGGUCUUAAUUGACUUGGUAACGCAGCUAACGCGUGAAGUAGACCGCCUGGGGAGUACGGUCGCAAGAUUAAAACUCAAAGGAAUGACG
rnacentral:rRNA from 1 species